AGCGAACGCUGGCGGCAGGCCUAAUACAUGCAAGUCGAACGGCUCUUCGGAGCAGUGGCGGACGGGUGAGUAACGCGUGGGAACGUGCCCUUUGGUUCGGAACAACACAGGGAAACUUGUGCUAAUACCGAAUGUGCCCUUCGGGGGAAAGAUUUAUCGCCAUUGGAGCGGCCCGCGUUGGAUUAGCUAGUUGGUGGGGUAAAGGCCCACCAAGGCGACGAUCCAUAGCUGGGCUGAGAGGAUGAUCAGCCACACUGGGACUGAGACACGGCCCAGACUCCUACGGGAGGCAGCAGUAGGGAAUCUUGCGCAAUGGGCGAAAGCCUGACGCAGCCAUGCCGCGUGAAUGAUGAAGGUCUUAGGAUUGUAAAAUUCUUUCACCGGGGAAGAUAAUGACGGUACCCGGAGAAGAAGCCCCGGCUAACUUCGU
rnacentral:rRNA from 1 species